rnacentral:rRNA from 1 species
CCUACGGGUGGCAGCAGUCGAGAAUCAUUCACAAUGGGGGAAACCCUGAUGGUGCGACGCCGCGUGGGGGAAUGAAGGUCUUCGGAUUGUAAACCCCUGUCAUGUGGGAGCAAAUUAAAAAGAUAGUACCACAAGAGGAAGAGACGGCUAACUCUGUGCCAGCAGCCGCGGUAAUACAGAGGUCUCAAGCGUUGUUCGGAAUCACUGGGCGUAAAGCGUGCGUAGGCUGUUUCGUAAGUCGUGUGUGAACGGCGCGGGCGCAACCCGCGGACGGCACAUGAUCCUGCGAGACUAGAGUAAUGGAGGGGGAACCGGAAUUCUCGGUGUAGCAGUGAAAUGCGUAGAUAUCGAGAGGAACACUCGUGGCGAAGGCGGGUUCCUGGACAUUAACUGACGCUGAGGCACGAAGGCCAGGGGAGCGAAAGGGAUUAGAUACCCCUGUAGUC